rnacentral:rRNA from 1 species
UACGGGGGGGAGCAAGCGUUGUUCGGAUUUACUGGGCGUAAAGGGCGCGUAGGCGGUUUUGUAAGCCAGAUGUGAAAUCCCCGGGCUUAACCUGGGAAUGGCAUUUGGGACUGCAAGGCUGGAGUUUGGCAGAGGAGACUGGAAUUCCUGGUGUAGCAGUGAAAUUCGUAGAUAUUCGCAAGAACACCAGUGGCGAAGGCGGCUCACUGGCCCGUAACUGACGCUGAGGCACGAAAGCGUGGGGAGCAAACAGGG